AACCUAGCACACCUGCGGUGUGUACCUGCGGAAGGAUCAUUAACGACUUGAAAGUGGGGCCUGCUGCUGGCAUGGAGACAUGCAUGUGCACGACCUCAUGCUCGAUUCACUCAACCUCUGUGCACCUUUGCAAAGUGGAGUAGGCCUUCUCGUUCUGAAGUGGGCUGGCAGCCGACAAGAUGACCGUGCGUGAGCACCAGUAGUCUAAAGGUGAACGGCUUAUCUUUUGAGGGGGGUGGU
rnacentral:misc_RNA from 1 species